rnacentral:rRNA from 1 species
UUGAUCAUGGCUCAGGAUGAACGCUAGCGGCAGCUUAACACAUGCAAGUCGAGGGGCAGCAAGGAUUGUGCUUGCACAAUCUGUUGGCGACCGGCGCACGGGUGCGUAACGCGUAUGCAACCUACCUUUAACAGGGGGAUAACACUGAGAAAUUGGUACUAAUACCCCAUAAUACUUUGAAAGGCAUCUUUCGAAGUUGAAAGUUCCGGCGGUUAGAGAUGGGCAUGCGUUGUAUUAGCUAGAUGGUGAGGUAACGGCUCACCAUGGCGACGAUACAUAGGGGGACUGAGAGGUUAACCCCCCACAUUGGUACUGAGACACGGACCAAACUCCUACGGGAGGCAGCAGUGAGGAAUAUUGGUCAAUGGACGCAAGUCUGAACCAGCCAUGCCGCGUGCAGGAUGACGGCUCUAUGAGUUGUAAACUGCUUUUGUAUUAGGGUAAACCUUAGUACGUGUACUAAGCUGAAAGUAUAAUACGAAUAAGGAUCGGCUAACUCCGUGCCAGCAGCCGCGGUAAUACGGGGGAUGCAAGCGUUAUCCGGAUUUAUUGGGUUUAAAGGGUGCGUAGGCGGCAUUGUAAGUCAGCGGUGAAAUUUCGGAGCUCAACUUCGAACGUGCCGUUGAUACUGCAGUGCUUGAAUGCGGAUGCCGUGGGAGGAAUGUGUGGUGUAGCGGUGAAAUGCAUAGAUAUCACACAGAACACCGAUUGCGAAGGCAUCUCACGAAUCCGCUAUUGACGCUGAGGCACGAAAGCGUGGGGAUCAAACAGGAUUAGAUACCCUGGUAGUCCACGCUGUAAACGUUUAUGACUAACCGUCGGCGAUACACUGUCGGUGGCCAAGCGAAAGCGAUAAGUCAUCCACCCUKGGGA